rnacentral:rRNA from 1 species
ACGGAGCACGAUUCUACGGGAGGCAGCAGUCGAGAAUCUUUCGCAAUGGGCGAAGCCUGACGAAGCGACGCUGCGUGAGUGAUGAAGGCUUUCGGGUUGUAAAACUCUUUCGCGCAAGAGCAAAGUGUGUUAGUGAAUAACUGAUACAUAUGAGAGUACUGCGUAAAGAAGCACCGGCUAACUCCGUGCCAGCAGCUGCGGUAAUACGGAGGGUGCAAGCAUUAAUCGGAUUUAUUGGGCGUAAAGGGCGCGUAGGCGGGAUUAAAAGACAGAUGUGAAAUUCCGAAGCUCAACUUCGGAGCCGCAUUUGAAACUGCAAUUCUUGAGGGGUGGCGGAGAAAACGGAAUUCCACAUGUAGCGGUGAAAUGCGUAGAUAUGUGGAAGAACACCUGUGGCGAAAGCGGUUUUCUAGCUAUUACCUGACGCUGAGGCGCGAGAGCAAGGGGAGCAAACAGGAUUAGAUACCCUGGUAGUCCUUGCCGUAAACGAUGUAUACUUGAUGUAGCUAGGCUCAACCCUGGCUGUGUCGAAGCUAACGCGAUAAGUAUACCGCCUGAGGAGUACGCUCGCAAGGGUGAAACUCAAAAGAAUUGACGGGGGCCCGCACAAGCAGUGAGCAUGGUGGUUUAAUUCGAUGCAACGCGAAGAACCUUACCCAGGCUCGAAAUGCAGUGGACAGCAUCAGAGAUGAUGUUGUUCCGCAAGGACCGCUGUAUAGGUGCUGCAUGGCUGUCGUCAGCUCGUGCCGUGGAGGUGUUGGGUUAAGUCCCGCAACGAGCGCACCCUUAUCAUUAGUUGCCAACACGUGAAGGUGGGGACUCUAAUGAGACUGCCUAGGUUAACUAGGAGGAAGGUGAGGAUGACGUCAAGUCCGCAUGGCCUUUAUGUCUGGGGCUACACACGUGCUACAAUGGUCGGUACAGAAGGCAGCAAGACCGCAAGGUGGAGCAAAUCCCAUAAAGCCGAUCUCAGUUCAGAUUGUAGUCUGCAACUCGACUACAUGAAGUUGGAAUUGCUAGUAAUGACGUGUCAGCAACAACGUCGUGAAUACGUUCCCGGGCCUUGUACACACCGCCAUCCAUAGUGACUAG